UACGGGGGGGGGCAAGCGUUGUUCGGAAUUACUGGGCGUAAAGGGCUCGUAGGCGGCCAUCUAAGUCAGACGUGAAAUCCCUCGGCUUAACCGGGGGAACUGCAUCUGAUACUGGAUGGCUUGAGAUUGGGAGAGGGAUGCGGAAUUCCAGGUGUAGCGGUGAAAUGCGUAGAUAUCUGGAGGAACACCGGUGGCGAAGGCGGCAUCCUGGACCAACACUAACGCUGAGGAGCGAAAGCCAGGGGAGCAAACGGG
rnacentral:rRNA from 1 species